CAGUAGCCACGGUAAUACAGAGGGUGCGAGCGUUAAUCGGAUUUACUGGGCGUAAAGCGUGCGUAGGCGGCUUUUUAAGUCGGAUGUGAAAUCCCUGAGCUUAACUUAGGAAUUGCAUUCGAUACUGGGAAGCUAGAGUAUGGGAGAGGAUGGUAGAAUUCCAGGUGUAGCGGUGAAAUGCGUAGAGAUCUGGAGGAAUACCGAUGGCGAAGGCAGCCAUCUGGCCUAAUACUGACGAUGAGGUACGAAAGCAUGGGGAGCAAACAGGAUUAGAUACCCCCGUAGUCCCUGUCUCUUAUAC
rnacentral:rRNA from 1 species